rnacentral:rRNA from 1 species
ACGAACGCUGGCGGCGUGCUUAACACAUGCAAGUCGAACGGAAAGGCCCUUCGGGGUACUCGAGUGGCGAACGGGUGAGUAACACGUGGGUGAUCUGCCCUGCACUUUGGGAUAAGCCUGGGAAACUGGGUCUAAUACCGGAUAGGACCACGGCAUUCAUGUGCUGUGGUGGAAAGCUUUUGCGGUGUGGGAUGGGCCCGCGGCCUAUCAGCUUGUUGGUGGGGUAAUGGCCUACCAAGGCGACGACGGGUAGCCGGCCUGAGAGGGUGACCAGCCACACUGGGACUGAGAUACGGCCCAGACUCCUACGGGAGGCAGCAGUGGGGAAUAUUGCGCAAUGGGCGCAAGCCUGAUGCAGCGACGCCGCGUGAGGGAUGACGGCCUUCGGGUUGUAAACCUCUUUCGCCAGGGACGAAGCGCAAGUGACGGUACCUGGAGAAGAAGGACCGGCCAACUACGUG